rnacentral:rRNA from 1 species
AGUGAACGCUGGCGGUAGGCCUAACACAUGCAAGUCGAACGGCAGCACAGUAAGAGCUUGCUCUUACGGGUGGCGAGUGGCGGACGGGUGCGGAAUACAUCGGAAUCUACUUUUUCGUGGGGGAUAACGUAGGGAAACUUACGCUAAUACCGCAUACGACCUACGGGUGAAAGCAGGGGAUCUUCGGACCUUGCGCGAUUGAAUGAGCCGAUGUCGGAUUAGCUAGUUGGCGGGGUAAAGGCCCACCAAGGCGACGAUCCGUAGCUGGUCUGAGAGGAUGAUCAGCCACACUGGAACUGAGACACGGUCCAGACUCCUACGGGAGGCAGCAGUGGGGAAUAUUGGACAAUGGGCGCAAGCCUGAUCCAGCCAUACCGCGUGGGUGAAGAAGGCCUUCGGGUUGUAAAGCCCUUUUGGUGGGAAAGAAAAGCAGCAGGUUAAUACCCCGCUGUUCUGACGUUACCCAAAGAAUAAGCACCGGCUAACUUCGUG